rnacentral:rRNA from 1 species
GACGUAGGGCGCGAGCGUUUGUCCGGAUUUAUUGGGCGUAAAGAGCUCGUAGGCGGCUUGUCGCGUCGUCCGUGAAAACCCGGGGCUCAACUCCGGGCUUGCGGGCGAUACGGGCAGGCUAGAGUUCGGUAGGGGAGACUGGAAUUCCGUGGUGUAGCGGUGAAAUGCGCAGAUAUCAGGAAGAACACCCGUGGCGAAAGCGGCUCUCUGGAACGGUACUGACGCUGAGACGCGAAAGCGUGGGGAGCGAACAGG